CAGGCCGAGAGGCGCUGCGACGGAUCCUCGAUCCGCCACGCUCGGCCUGUUGGUAAAGACACAAGGGCGCCUCCGUCGU
rnacentral:ncRNA from 1 species